UACGUAGGGCGCAAGCGUUAUCCGGAAUUAUUGGGCGUAAAGAGCUCGUAGGCGGUCUGUCGCGUCUGGUGUGAAAAUCCAGGGCUUAACCCUGGACCUGCAUCGGGUACGGGCAGACUAGAGUGCGGUAGGGGAGAUCGGAAUUCCUGGUGUAGCGGUGAAAUGCGCAGAUAUCAGGAGGAACACCGGUGGCGAAGGCGGAUCUCUGGGCCGUAACUGACGCUGAGGAGCGAAAGCAUGGGGAGCGAACAGG
rnacentral:rRNA from 1 species